rnacentral:rRNA from 1 species
CCUAAGUACGUGCCAGGCGCCGCGGGCAUACGUAGGUGGGGAGCGUUGUCCGGAUUUACUGGGCGUAAAGGAUGCGUAGGUGGAAACUUAAGUGGGAUGUGAAAUCCCCGGGCUCAACCCGGGAACUGCAUUCCAAACUGGGUAUCUGGAGUGCAGGAGAGGAAAGCGGAAUUCCUAGUGUAGCGGUGAAAUGCGUAGAUAUUAGGAAGAACACCGGUGGCGAAGGCGGCUUUCUGGACUGUAACUGACACUGAGGCAUGAAAGCGUGGGGAGCAAACAGGAUUAGAUACCCGUGUAGUC